rnacentral:rRNA from 1 species
UACGUAGGGAGCAAGCGUUAUCCGGAAUUACUGGGCGUAAAGCGUCCGUAGGUGGUAUUCUAAGUCAGAUGUUAAAUCUCUGGGCUCAACCCAGAGGCCGCAUUUGAUACUGGAGUACUUGAGGCAAGUAGAGGUAAGCGGAAUUUGUAGUGUAGCAGUGAAAUGCGUAGAUAUUACAAGGAACACCAAUGGCGAAGGCAGCUUACUGGACUUGUUCUGACACUGAGGGACGAAAGCGUGGGGAGCGAAAGGG